UCGGCGCUUGCCCCGAGCGGCAGCGGCUCAUUGCGAGACCGGUUACGAUUUUCACGAUAUCUCGGCCCACGUCCUUCGUCCACCCAGCAGCCCCUCUUGCGGGGGCGGCGCGAAGUUAAGUGCGUUGUGCGCGAGUGCUUGAAGCGAGGGAGAGGAAGGAGAAGGAGGUGAAGGUGAAGCAGAGCGGCCGCGAGCCCAGGGGGAGAGGAAGCUGCCGCGGGGUUCCGACAGGUAUGUAGCCGAUUGCACUUCAAUAGCGUCAAUUUUAUGCGAGUAAGCUACAACACAUAAAAUCUUACGAUUUAUAUCAAAAUUUAUUAUAAAAAUCUUUUAUGUACUGAGAUAAGGGAGAAAUUCUGUUUCAUAUUAGUGCACUACAAGAUGCAUUGCGCACGAUACCCAUUAUACAUAUUGUUCAAUAAAACAACCAUAAUUAUUAUUACAAUGGGAUGAGAGAAACUUUAACGCCAUUACAUGACAUUAAUAAUAAUUUUACGGGAGCACUACGGAUUAUCACUUUCAGCAUUAAUUCCUAAUAAUAAUAGCCAAUUCAUAAGCAAAUUAUAUAUUACUAGAAUGCCCGAUUAAGAAUCCAGAUAAACGAGAUUCGUUCUACGAGUCACAACGAUAGUACAACUUAAAAAUCCCUCGUCCAUCAUUAAAGCGAUAACAAGAAUUUCACAAGAUUAAGAAUGAAAUGAGCAAAA